rnacentral:lncRNA from 1 species
ACUAUCAUCAGAACAAUAAGGAGGAAAUCCAUCCCCAUGAUCCAGUCAUCUCCCACUAGGAGAUUACAGUUCAACAUGAGAUAUGGGCAGGGACACAAAUCCAAACCAUAUCAAACACCAAACCGUAAUUUAGUAUUUGAUUCAUAUGUCCUUUGGAAGGACUUCUGGAUAUAAGUUAAAGUCAUUGGUUUUAAGUUGUAUAUCCUUGAAAGGUCAUUAAGUGAAAAACUGUAACUAAGAUAUUUAUAAAAAUUGAAUAAUGGAUGGGUGAUUUGUUGGUGAUGGGUUUGAUUAUUUCUUCUGGUGGAGAAUGGGAGGUCAGUGUCAACAGGGCAAAGUACAAUAAGUGGGUAAAGUUUUUUGUAUUGAUUAUAUAUAGCAAAGGUGUUCUUAAAUUAAAACCUAAUUUGAAGCCCUAGAAAGGAGGAAAGGUAAUGGAUCUCUAGUUUCAGGCAUCAACCUUCUGGAGCAUCCCUGGCCAAUAAAAAUGAAAUGCAAGUCACACAUAUAAUUUUAAAUUUUAUAACAGCCACAGUAAAAAGAACUUUAACAAGUAAAAAAAGGGAAAAAUAGGCAAAAUUAAUUUUGACAUUAUAUUUAACACAGUAUAUCUAAAAUAUUGUCAUUUCAUAACAAUUAUUAAUUAGGUAUUUUAUAUUCUUUUUUGGACCCAAGUCUUCGAAAUCCAGUGUGUCUUUUACGUUGACAACAUAUAAAAACAAGCAUUGACAACGUAUUGAGCACUUACUGCCUGCCAGCUGUUACUGUAAGCUCUUUAAAUGCAUUACUUAAUUAAUCCUUUCAGUCACACUAUGAGGUGGUAGAUACUAGUGUUAUCCCCAUUUUAUAGAUGAGGAAACUGAGGGACAAAGGGGUUAAGGAACCUUCCUAAGGGCACAGAGCAACUAAGUGGCAGAGCUAGGAUACAUUCUCAGCAGUGCAACUCUAGAAUGUUUGAUGUUCACCAUAAGGCUCUCCUGCCCCAGUUAACACAAUCCUGCCCGAUAGGAAACUAAAUGAGUGGAAACUUGCCAAGGGGACUCAAAGCUAAUAAGUGACUUAGCACAUGUUUAAGCUCUGUGCUCUUUCCCAUAGUACUAAUAGAAAAAAAACAAGAGGUCAUACUGGCUGCUUUAAUCAUGAUUUUAUCACUACUGAAUAUGAAGACUUGGAUAUGUACAGAAAUUUUCACUUAGGAGUUUGGGUGUUUCUAUGUGUAUGUAUAUAUGUGUGCAAAUAAGUAUUGUCUUACAUGUUUUCCAAAAGAGGAUAAGAAAAUCCAUUAAUUAUAUAGGAGAUACAUUUUUUUAUCUAUAAACAUCUAACCUUUCAAAGAAUUAAAAGGGGAUAUUUCAGUUGCCAAAAGAACACAUUUAAAAAGGCUUUGUAAUUCUGUUUAUUAUCUGGUGGUUUAUCUAGCCAUGGACUGAGUGUUUAAACUUGAAGAAGAAUGACCAUGUAUUAAAACUUCACUCUAAAACUGAUCCUCCAGCCAACAGUGUGACCUGCCUGAAGAUGUGAUUUUAUGCUUCUAUGCUUUUGCCUGAAAACUCACCUAGUUGUGCUCCCUGUCUGCAUGCGAGGUCUCAUACGGGACCUUGUCCCACGAUCCCACUGGUUUCCUGCUUGUCUACUGCCUUUCCAGCCUAUUUAUUUAAAAAUCUACUCCCCUUCACCACUGUUGGGGGUGGUGGGGGUGCUGGUAGUGACAGAAUUUUCCAAUUCUCCUAGGUGCCUUUGCUUUUCUAUCCUGGUGCUACUGACUGUGUAAACUGUGACAAAAUUCCCUUCCAAUCCUUGGUUACUGUUUAAUUCCCCUACAUGUGCUUCAGAGUCAACAUUUAGUGUGCUUGGGCAGGAUGGCCUUGGCUCAGCGUAAAACUCUGUCAGAAUCGGUUAGAUGUGACUUCAGAGUUGGGUUUUAUUGACAUUUUACAUGCCCGAGUUGAUUUUGGAAAUUGCCUCUGUUACCACAUCCUUACUUCUGAU